rnacentral:pre_miRNA from 1 species
CAACUACUCCCUCUGUCCCAAAUUUCUUGUCUUAGAUUUUUCUAGAUACGUAUGUAUCUAAUACUAAAAUGUGACUUGAUACAUCCGUAUCUAGACAAAUCUAAGACAAGAAUUUUGGGACAGAGGGAGUAAUUU